rnacentral:rRNA from 1 species
GUGGGGAAUAUUGGACAAUGGGCGAAAGCCUGAUCCAGCCAUGCCGCGUGAGUGAUGAAGGCCUUAGGGUUGUAAAGCUCUUUCAGUAGGGAAGAUAAUGACAGUACCUACAGAAGAAGCCCCGGCUAACUUCGUGCCAGCAGCCGCGGUAAUACGAAGGGGGCUAGCGUUGUUCGGAUUUACUGGGCGUAAAGCGCACGUAGGCGGAUUGGUCAGUUAGAGGUGAAAUCCUGGAGCUCAACUCCAGAACUGCCUUUAAUACUGCCAGUCUAGAGUCCAGAAGAGGUGAGUGGAACUCCUAGUGUAGAGGUGGAAUUCGUAGAUAUUAGGAAGAACACCAGUGGCGAAGGCGGCUCACUGGUCUGGUACUGACGCUGAGGUGCGAAAGCGUGGGGAGCAAACAGGAUUAGAAACCCUGGUAGUCC